GGAGGUCCUUAAGGUAUCCUAGAUCCAAGUUACUGACAGUCUUGUAAAUUAAUACAAGAACCUUGAACCUGGCUUGGUAGCAUAUGGGCAGUCAGUAUAAGCUUUUAAGCACCAGCUUAUAGUUCAGAUCAUGCAUAGCCUCUCCUGGCUUAGAUGUUAUAGAGAAAUAGAGCUGUGUGUCAUCAGCAUACUGAUGGCACUUUGCCCCCAGACUCCUAAUGGCUGCUUCUAAUGACUUCAUGCAGAUGUUGAACAGCAUUGGGAGCACUCAAUUUUCCACCCUAAGAGCAGGAGAGGCUUGAAGUGGCCCUUCAACAGUUAGCAUUAUGGCAGAAGACUGAAUGAGCACAUAGGCCAUCUGUUCAUAGUAUUCCUCGCUAUGGAGCAGCUUGCAAAGGAAGUACAGGUAUAGGAACAAAGUGAAUGAUGCCUUGUGCAUUUAAUAACUGUGUUGCUGGCACAAAUUAAAUAGGAUGUUCUGUUGCUGAGCUGUGGCCUCCUUCCCCACAAUAUCAUCCUAAAUCCCUGUUCAUGACCAAGCCAAGUGGCACAGAAGUCAUGCCAACAUGAAUUUUACUACAUCAAAUCCCACCUCAUCCAAUGUUCAGUAGGAGGUGAUGCCCACUCUGACAUCAUAAAGCCAAAGAGACGGGCCUUGGGCGUUGGUGCCUAGCAAGUAUGCAUAUGAAGCCCUAAACAACUCUGGAUCAGGUUACAUCAAAGACCAUCUUCCCCUCCAUUGCCUAAUAAAGGCCUUAAGUUCAACAAAUGGAACCUGAUUAAUUUUAGCAUGGCCCGCCUGAUGAUGAUCAGCUUGUGGUAACACAGAGGCAGGCUUUUUUUGCUGAUGACCCCCAUGUUAUGGUAGGCUGUCUCCCUGCUGAAAAACAGGAGGUCCCAUCCACAUUGGCAUUCCACCUGCUCUUGAAGACACACCUGUUUAAACAAGCAUUACCCCGAUCUCCUGACUUGAACCAGAUGCUUUAAUUGUUUUAAUUGCUGUUUUAACUCUUUUAAUUGCUGUGUUGUUUUAAUGGGCUUGUUUUACUGUACAAUU